GCGCCCGUAGCUCAACUGGAUAGAGCGUCGGCCUCCGGAGCCGAAGGUUAUAGGUUCGAGCCCUAUCGGGCGUACCA
rnacentral:tRNA from 1 species